rnacentral:rRNA from 1 species
UUAAGCUACAAAGAGCGCACGGCGGAUGCCUUGGCGCCAGAUGCCGAUGAAGGACGUGGCAAGCUGCGAUAAGCUACGGUUAGCUGCAAGCAAGCGUUGACCCGUAGAUUUCCGAAUGGGGAAACCCACCAGAGUGAUCUGGUACUGCUGCAUGAACACAUAGUGCAGUAGAGGGAACCCGGUGAACUGAAACAUCUAAGUAACCGGAGGAAGAGAAAACAAACGUGAUUUCCUAAGUAGCGGCGAGCGAACGGGAAAGAGUCCAAACCAUAUUAGUGUCAAGCGGUACGGCGUUGCUAAUAUGGGGUUGUGGGAGUUACCAGUUGCAGCGUACUCUGCAGCAGGGGAAGUGAAGGCUAGCGGAACUGCCUGGAAAGGCAGGCCAUAGAGAGUGACAGCCUCGUACGUGAAAGCCGUAAGCACCCCGGUAACCACCCGAGUACUAUGGGACACGUGCAAUCCCAUAGGAAGCUGGGAAGACCACUUUCCAAGACUAAAUACACGCUGGCGACCGAUAGUGAAAUAGUACCGUGAGGGAAAGGUGAAAAGCACCCCGGGAGGGGAGUGAAAUAGUACCUGAAACCGUGUGCUUACAAACAGUUGGAGGGCGUUAAAGCCUGACAGCGUACUUUUUGUAGAACGGACCGGCGAGUUUCUGUAUGCAGCGAGGUUAAGGUGUUAAGCACCAGAGCCGUAGCGAAAGCGAGUCUGAAUAGGGCGGUAAGUUGCAUAUAGAAGACCCGAAACCGGGUGAUCUACCCAUGGCCAGGGUGAAGCGCGAGUAAAACCGCGUGGAGGCCCGAACCUUUUAGCGUUGAAAAGCUAUAGGAUGAGCUGUGGGUAGGAGUGAAAAGCUAAUCGAACUCGGAUAUAGCUGGUUCUCCCCGAAAUAGCUUUAGGGCUAGCCUCAAAGUAAGAGUAUCGGAGGUAGAGCACUGAUCGGGCUAGGGGCCUAACGGUUACCGAACCCUUUCAAACUCCGAAUGCCGAUAUGAGAUCUUUGGGAGUCAGUCUGCGUGGGAUAAGCCGCGCAGACAAGAGGGAAACAGCCCAGACCGUCGGCUAAGGUCCCCAAGUUCAGACUAAGUGGUAAAGGAUGUGGAAUUGCACAGACAACCAGGAUGUUGGCUUAGAAGCAGCCAUACAUUUAAAGAGUGCGUAAUAGCUCACUGGUCGAGUGGUCCUGCGCCGAAAAUGUCCGGGGCUCAAACCUGUCACCGAAGCUAUGGAUUGCUGUAGUAUCACUGAUACUCUUAAGGGAGUAUUAACGAAAGGACAUUUGUCAAAAUCGACCGAUUUGAUAGAGGUUUUUGAUAGAAGAUUUUGACUCAAUGUCUCCACUCAAGCUCAAAGCAAAGCGAUGCAGAUCGAUAAGCUUGAGGGUAUCAGUGAUACUACAGCAGUGGUAGAGGAGCAUUGUGUAUUGGCUGAAGCUGUACCGAGAGGAGCAGUGGACGAUACACAAGAGAGAAUGCCGGUAUGAGUAGCGAGAGCGAAGUGAGAAUCUUUGCCGUCGAAAGCCUAAGGUUUCCUGAGGAAGGUUCGUCCACUCAGGGUAAGUCGGGACCUAAGCCGAGGACGAAAGUCGUAGGCGAUGGACAAUCGGUUGAGAUUCCGAUACCACCGACAUCCGUUUGAGAGAGGCAGUGACACAGGAGGAUAGAUGGAGCGAGUUGUUGGUAGAGCUCGUUCAAGCAGUUAGUCCGGGGAGUGAGUGAAGUACCAUUCCCCAUAAAGGAUGAGCUGUGAUGAGGACCGAAAUUGGAGUAGGGAAGCCAUCGAAUCCCCACUGGCGAGAAAAGCUGCUAUCGAGGAUGGAGGUGCCCGUACCGCAAACCGACACAGGUAGGCGAGGAGAGAAUCCUAAGACGAACGGGAGAACCCUUGUUAAGGAACUCUGCAAAAUGACCCCGUAACUUCGGGAGAAGGGGUGCCUUCUUAACGGGAGGCCGCAGUGAAAAGGCCCAAGCGACUGUUUAGCAAAAACACAGGUCUCUGCUAACUCGAAAGAGGAAGUAUAGGGGCUGACGCCUGCCCAGUGCUGGAAGGUUAAGGGGAAGAGUUAGUCGAAAGGCGAAGCUUAGAACCGAAGCCCCAGUGAACGGCGGCCGUAACUAUAACGGUCCUAAGGUAGCGAAAUUCCUUGUCGGGUAAGUUCCGACC